rnacentral:rRNA from 1 species
GAUGAACGCUAGCGGCAGGCCUAAUACAUGCAAGCUGAACGGCAAGAUUGGUAGCAAUACUGAUCCUAGAGUAGCGUAAGGGUGCGUAACACGUAUGCAAUCUACCCGCAACAGGAGGAUAGCUCUCCGAAAGGGGAAUUAAGACUCCAUAAUAUCAUUUGAGGGCAUCUGAAGAUGAUUAAACUACAAGGGGUUGUGGAUGAGCAUGCGUCUGAUUAGUUAGUUGGCGAGGUAACGGCCCACCAAGACAAUGAUCAGUAGGGGAACUGAGAGGUU